CAUAGUGUGGUACCUUGUGGUAUGCACAUAAUAAAUUAUUGUAUUACUCUAUUACGUUUAGCGUGUAUGUUUACAUUGAGUAUCUGUCAUAUGUGGAGAUGUUGUUAUUGUUGUCUAGAGUGUGAAUCAUUGUAUGUAAUAUUGAAGUAUCGGUAAUAAAGUGUAUACAAAUAAUGAAUACAGUUGUUGAAUAAUCAUUACAGAGAAAGAUUCUCACAUUGGCGACGAGAACGGUGAACAGUGCAUGUGAAAUUAGUUUAAUUUCGGUUCGGGAAGUGUUGUCUUUGGAAAAAGAAAGAGAUGAGUGGUGUAUGUGUGGUGCAUGCAGAGUGGUGAUGACCUCCAGGUGAUGACUUGUGAUUGAAUUUCAACAUUGGAAUCAAAAAGGUACAACCACAAGUAACGGCCAAGUAAUUUACCAAAAUGCCGAGCAGAGAUGGAUGACCAAAAUGGAUGACUGUACUUCUAAUUUUGAUGUGAGACUGAAGCGAGACGUUCAUAAACUGAGGAGACUAUAAGCGAAACAACGUGGAGUGACCUUGCUGCGGAUCUGGAGAAAAAACGAGAUGUGGUACCUUGUGGUAUGCACAUAAUAAAUUAUUGUAUUACUCUAUUACGUUUAGCGUGUAUGUUUACAUUGAGUAUCUGUCAUAUGUGGAGAUGUUGUUAUUGUUGUCUAGAGUGUGAAUCAUUGUAUGUAAUAUUGAAGUAUCGGUAAUAAAGUGUAUACAAAUAAUGAA